GACGAACGCNGGCGGCGUGCCUAAUACAUGCAAGUCGAACGCUUCUUUUUCCACCGGAGCUUGCUCCACCGGAAAAAGAGGAGUGGCGAACGGGUGAGUAACACGUGGGUAACCUGCCCAUCAGAAGGGGAUAACACUUGGAAACAGGUGCUAAUACCGUAUAACAAUCGAAACCGCAUGGUUUUGAUUUGAAAGGCGCUUUCGGGUGUCGCUGAUGGAUGGACCCGCGGUGCAUUAGCUAGUUGGUGAGGUAACGGCUCACCAAGGCGACGAUGCAUAGCCGACCUGAGAGGGUGAUCGGCCACAUUGGGACUGAGACACGGCCCAAACUCCUACGGGAGGCAGCAGUAGGGAAUCUUCGGCAAUGGACGAAAGUCUGACCGAGCAACGCCGCGUGAGUGAAGAAGGUUUUCGGAUCGUAAAACUCUGUUGUUAGAGAAGAACAAGGAUGAGAGUAACUGUUCAUCCCUUGACGGUAUCUAACCAGAAAGCCACGGCUAACUACGUGCCAGCAGCCGCGGUAAUACGUAGGUGGCAAGCGUUGUCCGGAUUUAUUGGGCGUAAAGCGAGCGCAGGCGGUUUCUUAAGUCUGAUGUGAAAGCCCCCGGCUCAACCGGGGAGGGUCAUUGGAAACUGGGAGACUUGAGUGCAGAAGAGGAGAGUGGAAUUCCAUGUGUAGCGGUGAAAUGCGUAGAUAUAUGGAGGAACACCAGUGGCGAAGGCGGCUCUCUGGUCUGUAACUGACGCUGAGGCUCGAAAGCGUGGGGAGCAAACAGGAUUAGAUACCCUGGUAGUCCACGCCGUAAACGAUGAGUGCUAAGUGUUGGAGGGUUUCCGCCCUUCAGUGCUGCAGCUAACGCAUUAAGCACUCCGCCUGGGGAGUACGACCGCAAGGUUGAAACUCAAAGGAAUUGACGGGGGCCCGCACAAGCGGUGGAGCAUGUGGUUUAAUUCGAAGCAACGCGAAGAACCUUACCAGGUCUUGACAUCCUUUGACCACUCUAGAGAUAGAGCUUCCCCUUCGGGGGCAAAGUGACAGGUGGUGCAUGGUUGUCGUCAGCUCGUGUCGUGAGAUGUUGGGUUAAGUCCCGCAACGAGCGCAACCCUUAUUGUUAGUUGCCAUCAUUUAGUUGGGCACUCUAGCAAGACUGCCGGUGACAAACCGGAGGAAGGUGGGGAUGACGUCAAAUCAUCAUGCCCCUUAUGACCUGGGCUACACACGUGCUACAAUGGGAAGUACAACGAGUCGCAAAGUCGCGAGGCUAAGCUAAUCUCUUAAAGCUUCUCUCAGUUCGGAUUGUAGGCUGCAACUCGCCUACAUGAAGCCGGAAUCGCUAGUAAUCGCGGAUCAGCACGCCGCGGUGAAUACGUUCCCGGGCCUUGUACACACCGCCCGUCACACCACGAGAGUUUGUAACACCCGAAGUCGGUGAGGUAACCUUUUGGAGCCAGCCGCCUAAGGUGGGAUAGAUGAUUGGGGUGAAG
rnacentral:rRNA from 1 species